GAUCAUGGCUCAGGAUGAACGCUAGCGGCAGGCUUAACACAUGCAAGUCGAGGGGCAGCGUGGGGCAGCAAUGCUCCGACGGCGACCGGCGGAAGGGUGCGUAACACGUGAGCGACUUGCCCGUCACAGGGGGAUAACCGGCGGAAACGGCGACUAAUACCCCAUAUGAUGUGAUGCUGCAUAGCAUCGCACUGAAAGAUUCAUCGGUGGCGGAUAGG
rnacentral:rRNA from 1 species